AAUAGCCGAAUAUAAUAGCGAUUUAAAUUUUGACAGUGAUUUGAAGUUGAGGAAAAUAAGAAAAAGAAUGUCACUCAAUCUUCAGAUGAAACGGACGAUAAAGAUGAAGGAAGUAGUACACAGGAACAUUUCGAUCAGUAUUCUUGAAGAAUUGCAGAAAUUGAGUAUAGAAAAUCGUGGCGCAGUUAUCAAUGUUUCAGAUGAGGAAGUACAAUCACUGUUUUCAGGAACUUCUCGAUUUCCAAUCAAUUCAGAAGAAAAUUUGAAGAAGUUUGAAGAAUAUUUGCGAGAUGAAAAUAAUUUCAAAGGAGCUGUAAGUAAUUUAAAGAAAAUUUCCAAUAGGAAAAGUAUCUCUGGAUUGAUACUUUUUAAGUGAAAGAAAAUCACAAAUGAGUUUACUGCCACAUUUAACUGGUAUGGUGGAGAGGAAAAAAUAAUAUUUGGCGGAUUGAAAUUAGCUGAAGUUCUGCUCGCUGCAUCAUAAACAAGUAAUCUUGCAAUUAGUAACAAAUAAGUUGAGAAAGCAUUAAAAAAUGGCUAAGAAGAGCCAAAGAUCGCCAUACUUCAGGAGCAAAUGAAAAAUAAACAUAUUUUUCUAUAUGCUUGCUUUAGAGGUUGAUUUCAUUUUGUUUUUGUCAUAAGGUACCAAAUAUGUUGAGUUUAUUUUAAUUUGUUUUGAGAGUGACCAGUAUUAUUUUGUUUUGAAUUUAUCUUAACAAAUACAUGUUUUAAUUAA